CAGCCGCCACGGGAAUACGUAGGUGGCAAGCGUUGUCCGGAAUUAUUGGGCGUAAAGGGCUCGCAGGCGGUUUCUUAAGUCUGAUGUGAAAGCCCCCGGCUCAGCCGGGGAGGGUCAUUGGAAACUGGGAAACUUGAGUGCAGAAGAGGAGAGUGGAAUUCCACGUGUAGCGGUGAAAUGCGUAGAGAUGUGGAGGAACACCAGUGGCGAAGGCGACUCUCUGGUCUGUAACUGACGCUGAGGAGCGAAAGCGUGGGGAGCGAACAGGAUUAGAUACCCCUGUAGUCCCUGUCUCUUAUAC
rnacentral:rRNA from 1 species